rnacentral:lncRNA from 1 species
AUUGGGACAGUGCCGGUUUACUAUAAUUAACAAACACAAAUUUUUUCCUCAUUGUCUGCAACUAUGUCAAGUUUGCUUUAUUCAAAUAUUCACUUUGCAUAUAGUUUGAAUCCACUGCAAUUCUACUUUUGGUCACAGUGCACAUAGGGCUUCCUCUCCAAUUCACCGUGGUGCAGUGUGUGUCCUCACUGCUACCUCCAAGGCUGCUGCAUCCAGGCUCUCUCCAAAAGUAGAGAAGAGGAAGGAAGGAACUAUAACGCAUCAAUGGCAAUACUUCUGAUGACAUAGGAAUCAGAUGAAAUCUGGAUUUUUUUCCUGAGAUAUAAAUCCCCUUUAUCCAUGGACUGUUGUGGUUGAAUUCAUUUUUAAUACUAAUAUGCUGAAUACAGUCACAUUAUCUCUCCAUGUAAUUUCAUAGUAUAUUCUUUCUUUAAUAUUUAGAAACAUCACAGACAAAUAUGCAGGAGUUCUACCUAAUAAAAACUUAUAGUAGUCAAUUUUCUUUCAAAGAUUAUUUUAAAAAUGUUCUUAACAGCUUUUGGCUUUCAUAUAGCUCAAUAAUAGAAAAAGAUACUUUCUUUUACUGCACUAUACAUUCCAGGUACUAUAAUUACAACUUUGCAUAAAGCAUUUAAUGUAAUUAGGCAUAUUUUGUUAUUUUCUGUUUUUUUUUUCAUAAUUCAUGAAACUAAGGAUUGGAGAAUGUUUAAGGUUUUUUUCCAAGAUCCAGAGGUAAUUGCAGCUGGCCUGUAUUAGCUAAUGAGAGCAAAUUGUGCUGAUAUUUCCUCAGCUAACCUGUUUAGUGACAUUAUGACAAUAACUUAGCCAUCGUGAGAACUUUUACACAAUGGAUAUGGGCAAAUUCUACAACUUGAAAUCAGUUACUAAGCAUCUGCCGACACACCACUUCCAAGUUCAUGCAGGCAGUGGUUGCUUGAUUUAGAGCCCAUCAUACUUAGUGGGACAUUGAACUGCUUCCUCGAACUACCCAAUUCCUUACAUUUACUGAAUAUUUUCCUAUUUCAAACUGCUAUAUUUGAUGAAUGAAUAAAAAAUAGUGUUUCUGUUGUGGAACAAACACUAAGCCGGAGACAUGCUUAAUGUCAUGAAGCAAGCCAUUGGCUCUUGACCUCUGGACAAUAAGUUGAUAGGGAUAAGUUUGUGUAUUUGAUAGAUCUUGGUUCCUAAUCACAGAUUUAGAUGAACACAUGAGCUGACUAUUUUACAGAUUCUCUACAAGCUAGACAAAUUAUAGAGGGAAAGGUUAUUAAAUGUACUACAGUGGAAAAUUAUACAAUCAAAAUAAAGUUUAGAUACAGACUGACCAUCUAUCAACUAUGAUUGGCUCUUGCCUCUUCAGGAACAAUAAAAAGUAUAAGAUAAUAUCCGUUAAAAUAUUUUAUAGUGUACUACAUGUAUUGUAGUUAUGCUUAGGGCUUUUCUCCCUUUGGGAGAAAUUAAUAGCAAAAAUAGAGAGAUAAUAUAUAUUUUCUGCAAAUUGUCUGUAUGUGUGUAUGUGUGUGUGUGUGCACGUGCACAUGAAUAGAAGACAGUUUAUUAUACAUUAAAUUUAAACAUUCUCAGAUGGUAAGAAUAAACAGUCGUUAACAAAGAUCCUGUGCCAAAUUGCAUUUUAGGCAGGCUUUAUGUUUUUAAUGUAUAGAACUAGCAGUAAGCUCUAAAGAACAUUUUCUAGGCCACCUUUAGCAGAGGAAGCAAGGCUACCACUAAGCUUGCAACUAGACAGUAAUUUUAUGACCUUCUGAGACGUUCAGAAUUCAGUAUCUCAGGGUCGGUAUUAUGACUCAGACACCAUUCCUGGGUUUGAUCUCCAGAAUCCUGCAGUUCUACAAGCAGGGUCCCAUAACCUAGACAUAUGCUCGUACCCAACAGUACUUAAUUAGCUACUUACCAAUCUCCUUUCAAGAACUGAGAAAACCAUUGAUCAGGUGGUCAUUGAGCUAAUAUAGUUGGUUAUGGCUAAAAUUAGAUAGAGAAGGGUCUAGAACCUUCAGUCUUGCUGACUUUCAGGCCUGCUAAGAUUAUUGGGAAUUCAAGUCCAAGGAACUUGGUAACUUUACAACUAACUGUGGGUGGACAGAUAAUAAAGGAGAUUAAAAAUCAACAGAGGUGCUGAUACACAAGUUUCAAAGAGUAAAGUCACUAUGAAAAUUAUAAUACAUAUAAGCCAUUUCAUCAUGAAAACUUGGAGACACCCUCCCAAAGAUAUUUGCCAAAAGAGAUGGUGGUAUAUAUUACAGUUUCAGCCUGGUCUCAUAGAUCACAUAAAGCAGAUAAGAUAUUACUGGGAUUAUAAGGAAUUUAUAUACAUCAUGUAACCACCAUAAUUAACAGUUGCCUUAUUAUAAUUAUCAUUAUCUUGAUGUUUUAGAAAUAUAAAAAUAAUUCAUGGGUUUUGUCACUAAAAUCCCUAUGAAUGUAUUUCCUUUUAAAAUUAUGUGCAUUUAUUUGUGCUUUAAUGGGGGAUAUGCACGUGAACAUAAGUACCCACAGAACCCAGAAAUAUUAGAUUCUCCUUGAGAUACAAGUCAAUGUGAGCCACUGGAUAUGGGUGCUGGGGAUGGAGUCUGGUUCCUCUGCAAGAGCAGUACUCAGUCCUAAUCACUAAGCCACUUCUCUAACCUGAUCUAAAGAUAUUUACCAAAAGUUUAAACAUCUCAAGUGAUAUCUUCUAGCCAUGGAAACAGAAAGGAGAUGGAAGCUAAAUGUCUGAUCAAACUAAUGAAAACAUGCUGGUUCAAGGUAAAUUCCUGGGGCGAUCUACAGUUGUUACUUGUUUACUUGUAUCUAGGGAAAUUUUUAGAAAACUUGUGCUACUCCAUUUUGCU